UCUCUACCAUCCUAGCUCACCACCAGCCUGAGGGACUCCUGCUUGGUUUUCCGGACCUGACAGCCCCAGCUGAAACUACUCAACUCACUGUUGCCGUGAGAAGCAGCCCUUGGUACUUGUGAAAUAGUGAAUAGUCAUGGCUAUAUUUCAAUAAAACUUUAUUUACCACAGCGGGCAGCUAGUCAGGCAUGAACUGGGCAGUGAUCUGCUGUUCUGAACUGCAGCUCUCUGCACCAGCGCAAUAUGAACCCAGGGGGGUAAAAUGCUGCCGAUGCCAUCCAUGUACAGUCCCUGCGGGCUGCCCCCAAGGAGCCUGUGAGCAGGAGGACGUCACAAAAGGAGAGGAUACAAUGUUGCAGUUGGGGAUGUGGAGCAUGAGCACAAUGUUGGGCAAUAAGAGCCACAGUCAACAACCCUCCUAGCCAAGAGAGCAAUGCACAGUAAAAUUGCAUUCACUGGAUUCCACCUGACCCCAUCUGUGGAGGAGGAGAAUGCAGGAGGACCCCCUCUGAGGGCUGUACAGAGGAGGCCUACACUAGGUGGGGAAUCUUGCUUUCUUCUGCCUGCCCCACCCUGAACCCUCACAUUCUCACUCUGCCAUUUAUAUUUGCCAUUGCUGACAAAGUGGCAGGAAACAGGAUAUCAGUGGUUCUUUGUCAGGGCGAUGCCCCUCCCAGAACGACACCUGUUUGUAAGUCAUGAGCAACUUCUGCUUCUUCAUCUAACCACAGGCAGAUUCUGCAGGAGCUCAUGAGAUGUGCAAAAGCCUCCUUAACUUCUCUUCUCUUGCUUGGUGUCCCGCGUGACCAGACAGAAAUAUAGUUGAAUGGACUUAGGGGAGCAACGUGGGUCACUGGACAGUGUUAGGUUGAUAGCUUGUGAGCUUUUUAACCUUGGCUUUUGACACCUUGGUCCUUUGGACUCCUGCAACCAGACAGGAUCCACUGGAACUCAGAGGAAGGUAAAGAGCCCGCUCUCCGAUAGUCUCACGAUAGAGCUUUCCUGCCAAGAUUGUUUCAUCUACAAACAAAACAAAAGUCCGAGCAAAACAGGCUGGAGAGGUGGCUUGCUUUGCAAGAGAUUCAAAUGUGGUUCCCAGCACCCGAACUGGGCAUCUAUCUCACAACCAUCUGUAACUCCACCAUAGGGGACUUGAAAUCCUCUUCCAGCCUCUGAAGACACAUGGGCUCUUGUGUACAUACUCACACAUACGUGUAAAUUAAAGUGAAAAUAAAUCUUUUAAGAAAACCUUAAUUUUAUUUAACAUAGUACUCCACUUGUUCUUUACACUGUAUUUAUAUCUGAAGUCCAUAGCAGUGAAGAUAGUCUGAC
rnacentral:lncRNA from 1 species